AGCAGCGAGCGUGUCCCCUCCACCAAGCCAGUAGCCCGGACAGCGACAGUGGGUCAAACAAGGUUUUCUUUAGGAAACAGGGAACCCACUGUAUUCCGGUCUCAGCCCAUUGGCGUUAGCAAGAGCUUGGUUUUUAGUACAUUUGCGAACCUCAGCCAAAACAAUGAGAAUAUUGCAUCUCUCAACUACUGUCAAGGACGUGCAUGUGACCCACUCCAGGAAUGACAAAAGAAACAGCCUCCAGGGUCAUCUCUGUGAACAUUAGUGGGCAUUUCUGAACAGCAGAUUCCGAAGUGUAAUUGCUGGAUGCAUUAAGUUUCACUGCUCUCUGAAAUGUGCGUGAGCAGCAAGAACCUGAGCUCUGUCAGAUUCUGCCUGGGCAGACCUGGCACCCUGCUUUCCCAGAAACUAGAGGUUGGAAAACAGCAGCCUCUUCAUUCAUG
rnacentral:lncRNA from 13 species